GGCGAUGCUGCACCUGCCGUGCAACCUGCCUGCGCCCGGGAGGCAGUGGGAAGCGCACAGCAGCCGUUCCCCAGGACCCAGCACCGGCGGGGAGGGUGCAGUGCAAUGCAAUGUAAUGCAAUGCAAGCGCCCCCCCCCCCCGGGCUAGAAGAGGGAACGCAAUGCAGCCCCUCUCCCCAGGCUCAGCAGCCGGGGCCAGAAGGACGAUGCAACCUCGCCCCACCUGCAGGGGGGAGAGAGGGGAACGCAGCACCCCGGCAACCACUGCGGGGAGCCGGGACCCAGCUGCAACCGCAAUUAAAUCCCGUAGGGAGCGUCCGGCUGCAGCAGAUUGCCUGGGCCAGCCAGCGCCGGAGGGGAGAAGAAUUGUUAUGCACUCUUCUCCUCUGGUAACAGCUCCAUCUGUGAUAAUUCUCUUUAAUUCCAGCCUUAUGCAUCCCACUAGGCAUCCAUUAUGUUACAAAGAGCCCUCGAUCUGCCAGGCAUCAUUAACACACACAGGGAGAGACACAAUCCCUGCCCUACAAAGCUUUCAUCUGAAGAAGACAAGCAACAUGCAAAAAGUGGGGGAGAAGGAGUCAAACAAACUAUGUACAAUUCACA